GCCGACUUAGCUCAAUUGGUAGAGCAACUGAAUCGUAAUCAGUAGGUUGCGGGUUCAAGUCCUGCAGUCGGCACCA
rnacentral:tRNA from 67 species